AGUGCUCACUUUGGCAGAUUACACUAAAGUCAGAAUGAUACAGAGAAGAUGAGCAUGGCCGCCACGCAGGGAUGAUGUACAAAUGUGCGAAGCCUUCCAAGUUCUU
ensembl:snRNA U6 U6 spliceosomal RNA